rnacentral:rRNA from 1 species
GACGAACGCUGGCGGCGUGCUUAACACAUGCAAGUCGAACGGAAAGGCCCCUUUGGGGGUCCUCGAGUGGCGAACGGGUGAGUAACACGUGAGUAACCUGCCCUUGACUUCGGGAUAGCUUCAGGGAACUGGGGCUAAUACCGGAUAGGAAUCCUUGCUGCAUGGUGGGGGUUGGAAAGCUUCGGCGGUUUUGGAUGGACUCGCGGCUUAUCAGCUUGUUGGUGGGGUAGUGGCUUACCAAGGCUUUGACGGGUAGCCGGCCUGAGAGGGCGACCGGCCACAUUGGGACUGAGAUACGGCCCAGACUCCUACGGGAGGCAGCAGUGGGGAAUAUUGCACAAUGGGCGGAAGCCUGAUGCAGCAACGCCGCGUGCGGGAGGACGGCCUUCGGGUUGUAAACCGCUUUCAGCAGGGGCGAAGCUUGUGGUGACGGUACCUGCAGAAGAAGCACCGGCUAACUACGUG